rnacentral:lncRNA from 1 species
GUCAUCGUUGCUUUUUUCAAAAUUUUACAAGAAGAAACUUGCUUUUGCUAUAUAUGUGUUUAAGUAUUUUGUAAAAAUAUUUUAGGUAGUUGGAUAUUAAAAAAGGUUGAUAUAUAAUUUGUUGUGCAUAUAUUUCAACUUUAUUGCAUUUUUAAUUUUUUUAUUCUUUGUCUUAUUCUACUAAAAAUAUAAGAAAAUG